rnacentral:snRNA from 1 species
UUGCUUUGGCAGCACAUAUACUAAAAUUGGAAUUAUACAGAGAAGAUUAGCACAGCCCCUGCGCAAGGAUGACACACAAAUUCGUGAAGCAUGCCAUAUUUUU